rnacentral:rRNA from 1 species
GAAGGACUCUCGGCAACGGAUAUCUCGGCUCUUGCAUCGAUGAAGAACGUAGCGAAAUGCGAUACUUGGUGUGAAUUGCAGAAUCCCGUGAACCAUCGAGUCUUUGAACGCAAGUUGCGCCCGAAGCCAUUAGGCUGAGGGCACGCCUGCCUGGGUGUCGCCCA